rnacentral:rRNA from 1 species
CAGCAGCCGCGGGAACACGAGGGGGGCAAGCGUUGUUCGGAAUUACUGGGCGUAAAGCGCGCGUAGGCGGUUACUCAAGUCAGAGGUGAAAGCCCGGGGCUCAACCCCGGAACUGCCUUUGAAACUAGGUGACUAGAAUCUUGGAGAGGUCAGUGGAAUUCCGAGUGUAGAGGUGAAAUUCGUAGAUAUUCGGAGGAACACCAGUGGCGAAGGCGGCAACCUGGUCCAUGACUGACGCUGAGGCGCGAAAGCGUGGGGAGCGAACAGGAUUAGAUACCCCCGUAGUCCCUGUCUCUUUACA